AACUUGUAACAAAACCAAACGUUCAAUGAAGGUGAAGGAAAUUGAAUUAAAAAAUCCAAACUGUUUUUGAUAGAAUGAAAUGAUAAAAAUAAUUAGAUGAUCACAAGAUGACAUGUUGAACUGAAAAAGAAUGAUUUUUUAUUUCAAAUAAAAAUAUUUUAAAUGUUUCAUUUUUUGUGCAGUUAAAGCUUCAGGUUUUUUUUAUUUGGUGGAGCUAACUUAAUGCUAUGUUGAUGUUAUUUUGCCUUAAUUUAUAUAUCUUAAUAUAUAUACACAAAAUUUUGAACUACUUUGUAUAUACCUCAGUAUCAAACUUAUUAUUAGAAGCAAAUUUUUCAACUAUAUUAUGUUUCUAAGGCUAUAAAAGGAAUCAUGCAAUGGCAAAUUUUGCAUGAUAUUUAUAAAGUUGUGCAUUAUUAUUAGUUCAAUCUAAUUCUACUCAAGCACAUCUAACAUGAGUAAAGAAUACAACUAAGAUCACAUAUUGAUGGCAUGUAUGCUUAUACACAGAAAAAUGUAAUAUCAACAUUCUGUUUCUAAUAAUUAAAAUGCAUACUGAGAUAAUAUGAUGAUGCAUGCUUUAGAGAUGAGAUAUUAUGUCUCUUCAAAGUUUGUGUUAACAUAAUAAAACCACUGCCAAUAACA